GACGAACGCUGGCGGCGUGCUUAACACAUGCAAGUCGAACGAAGUGGCGAACGGGUGCGUAACGCGUAAUCAACCUGCCCUUCAGAGGGGGACAACAGUUGGCAAAGACUGCUAAUACCGACUACUGAAGGAGGGGAUUGCGUCUGAUUAGCUAGUUGGAGGGGUAACGGCCCACCAAGGCGAUGAUCAGUAGCCGGUCGUAGAGGAUGGACGGCCACAUUGGGACUGAGACACGGACCAGACGCCUACGGGAGGCAGCAGUGGGGAAUCUUCCGCAAUGGACGAAAGUCUGACGGAGCAACGCCGCGGGAGUGAUGACGGCCUUCGGGUUGUAAAGCUCUGUUAAUCGGGACGCGGUACCGGAAUAGAAAGCCACGGCUAACUACGUGCCAGCAGCCGCGGUAAUAC
rnacentral:rRNA from 1 species